UUAAGCGACUAAGCGUACACGGUGGAUGCCCUGGCAGUCAGAGGCGAUGAAGGACGUGCUAAUCUGCGAAAAGCGUCGGUAAGGUGAUAUGAACCGUUAUANCACUAUCGUUAACUGAAUACAUAGGUUAACGAGGCGAACCGGGGGAACUGAAACAUCUAAGUACCCCGAGGAAAAGAAAUCAACCGAGAUUCCCCCAGUAGCGGCGAGCGAACGGGGAGCAGCCCAGAGUCUGAAUCAGCUUGUGUGUUAGUGGAACGGUCUGGAAAGUCCGACGGUACAGGGUGAUAGUCCCGUACACCAAAAUGCACAGGCUGUGAACUCGAAGAGUAGGGCGGGACACGUGGUAUCCUGUCUGAAUAUGGGGGGACCAUCCUCCAAGGCUAAAUACUCCUGACUGACCGAUAGUGAACCAGUACCGUGAGGGAAAGGCGAAAAGAACCCCGGCGAGGGGAGUGAAAAAGAACCUGAAACCGUGUACGUACAAGCAGUGGGAGCACCUUCGGGUGUGACUGCGUACCUUUUGUAUAAUGGGUCAGCGACUUAUAUUCUGUAGCAAGGUUAACCGUAUAGGGGAGCCGCAGGGAAACCGAGUCUUAACUGGGCGUUAAGUUGCAGGGUAUAGACCCGAAACCCGGUGAUCUAGCCAUGGGCAGGUUGAAGGUUGGGUAACACUAACUGGAGGACCGAACCGACUAAUGUUGAAAAAUUAGCGGAUGACUUGUGGCUGGGGGUGAAAGGCCAAUCAAACCGGGAGAUAGCUGGUUCUCCCCGAAAGCUAUUUAGGUAGCGCCUCGUGAACUCAUCUUCGGGGGUAGAGCACUGUUUCGGCUAGGGGGUCAUCCCGACUUACCAACCCGAUGCAAACUACGAAUACCGAAGAAUGUUAUCACGGGAGACACACGGCGGGUGCUAACGUCCGUCGUGAAGAGGGAAACAACCCAGACCGCCAGCUAAGGUCCCAAAGUCAUGGUUAAGUGGGAAACGAUGUGGGAAGGCACAGACAGCCAGGAUGUUGGCUUAGAAGCAGCCAUCAUUUAAAGAAAGCGUAAUAGCUCACUGGUCGAGUCGGCCUGCGCGGAAGAUGUAACGGGGCUAAACCAUGCACCGAAGCUGCGGCAGCGACACUAUGUGUUGUUGGGUAGGGGAGCGUUCUGUAAGCCUGCGAAGGUGUGCUGUGAGGCAUGCUGGAGGUAUCAGAAGUGCGAAUGCUGACAUAAGUAACGAUAAAGCGGGUGAAAAGCCCGCUCGCCGGAAGACCAAGGGUUCCUGUCCAACGUUAAUCGGGGCAGGGUGAGUCGACCCCUAAGGCGAGGCCGAAAGGCGUAGUCGAUGGGAAACAGGUUAAUAUUCCUGUACUUGGUGUUACUGCGAAGGGGGGACGGAGAAGGCUAUGUUAGCCGGGCGACGGUUGUCCCGGUUUAAGCAUGUAGGCUGGUUAUCCAGGCAAAUCCGGAUAAUCAAGGCUGAGGUGUGAUGACGAGGCACUACGGUGCUGAAGUAACAAAUGCCCUGCUUCCAGGAAAAGCCUCUAAGCAUCAGGUAACAUCAAAUCGUACCCCAAACCGACACAGGUGGUCAGGUAGAGAAUACCAAGGCGCUUGAGAGAACUCGGGUGAAGGAACUAGGCAAAAUGGUGCCGUAACUUCGGGAGAAGGCACGCUGGUGUGUAGGUGAAGCCCCUGCGGGUGGAGCUGAGACCAGUCGAAGAUACCAGCUGGCUGCAACUGUUUAUUAAAAACACAGCACUGUGCAAACACGAAAGUGGACGUAUACGGUGUGACGCCUGCCCGGUGCCGGAAGGUUAAUUGAUGGGGUUAUCCGUAAGGAGAAGCUCUUGAUCGAAGCCCCGGUAAACGGCGGCCGUAACUAUAACGGUCCUAAGGUAGCGAAAUUCCUUGUCGGGUAAGUUCCGACCUGCACGAAUGGCGUAAUGAUGGCCAGGCUGUCUCCACCCGAGACUCAGUGAAAUUGAACUCGCUGUGAAGAUGCAGUGUACCCGCGGCAAGACGGAAAGACCCCGUGAACCUUUACUAUAGCUUGACACUGAACAUUGAGCCUUGAUGUGUAGGAUAGGUGGGAGGCUUUGAAGCGUGGACGCCAGUCUGCGUGGAGCCAACCUUGAAAUACCACCCUUUAAUGUUUGAUGUUCUAACGUUGGCCCCUUACCGGGGUUGCGGACAGUGUCUGGUGGGUAGUUUGACUGGGGCGGUCUCCUCCCAAAGCGUAACGGAGGAGCACGAAGGUUAGCUAAUCCUGGUCGGACAUCAGGAGGUUAGUGCAAUGGCAUAAGCUAGCUUGACUGCGAGCGUGACGGCGCGAGCAGGUGCGAAAGCAGGUCAUAGUGAUCCGGUGGUUCUGAAUGGAAGGGCCAUCGCUCAACGGAUAAAAGGUACUCCGGGGAUAACAGGCUGAUACCGCCCAAGAGUUCAUAUCGACGGCGGUGUUUGGCACCUCGAUGUCGGCUCAUCACAUCCUGGGGCUGAAGUAGGUCCCAAGGGUAUGGCUGUUCGCCAUUUAAAGUGGUACGCGAGCUGGGUUUAGAACGUCGUGAGACAGUUCGGUCCCUAUCUGCCGUGGGCGCUGGAGAAUUGAGGGGGGCUGCUCCUAGUACGAGAGGACCGGAGUGGACGCAUCACUGGUGUUCGGGUUGUCAUGCCAAUGGCACUGCCCGGUAGCUAAAUGCGGAAGAGAUAAGUGCUGAAAGCAUCUAAGCACGAAACUUGCCCCGAGAUGAGUUCUCCCUGAGACUUUAAGUCUCCUGAAGGAACGUUGAAGACGACGACGUUGAUAGGCCGGGUGUGUAAGCGCAGCGAUGCGUUGAGCUAACCGGUACUAAUGAACCGUGAGGCUUAACCUU
rnacentral:rRNA from 1 species